rnacentral:lncRNA from 7 species
GGGGCUGGGACUGCUGGCGGCCCUUCUGCUGCUGCUCUGUGCUGCUCUCACAGCGCUGCUGCUCAGGAGGAGGGCGAGGUGUGGGGUUAUGGGGUCUGUGGGGUUAUGGGGUGGGGGGUUAUGGGGUUGGUAUGGGGUUGGUAUGGGGUUGGUAUGGGGUUAUUAUGGGGUUAUGAUGGGGUUAUGAUGGGGUUAUGGGGUCUGUGGGGUUAUGGGGUGGGGGGUUAUGGGGUUGGUAUGGGGUUAUGGGGUUGAUAUGGGGUUGGUAUGGGGUUAUGGGGUUGGUAUGGGGUUGGUAUGGGGUUAUGGGGUUAUGGAUUAUCGGGUUACAGGGUUGCUUAUGGGGUUAUAGGGUUAUGGGUUAUGGGUUAUGGGAUUGGUUAUGGGGUUAUAGGGUUAUGGGUUAUGGGUUAUGGGGUUAUGGGUUAUGGGGUUGGCUAUGGGGUUAUGGGUUAUGGGGUUAUGGGGUUAUGCGUUAUGGGAUUGGUUAUGGGGUUAUAGGGUUAUGGGUUAUGGGUUAUGGGGUUAUGGGUUAUGGGGUUGGCUAUGGGGUUAUGGGUUAUGGGGUUAUGGGGUUAUGCGUUAUGGGAUUGGUUAUGGGGUUAUAGGGUUAUGGGGUUACAGGGUUAUGGGGUUAUGGGUUAUGGGGUUAUGGGUUAUGGGGUUAUGGAGUUGGUUAUGGGGUUAUGCGUUAUGGGAUUGGUUAUGGGGUUAUAGGGUUAUGGGGUUAUGGGUUAUGGGGUUAUGGGUUAUGGGGUUAUGGAGUUGGUUAUGGGGUUAUGGGUUAUGGGAUUGGUUAUGGGGUUAUAGGGUUAUGGGGUUAUGGGGUUAUGGGUUAUGGGGUUAUGGGUGAUGGGUUACGGGUUAUGGGGUGAGCGCAGCGAUCCGUGGGGUCGGCAGUGGCCCCGCAGUGGACUGACGGCUUUGGGGUCCCCCAUAACCGCCCCACAGAUCCGCAGCGCCCCCCUCCGACGGCGCCCAUUGGUACGAGUUGGACUCCGCCGCGUGGCCCUCCCCCGACGGCUUCGCGUACCGCAACAGCGCCGCAGGCUGCUCCCUGCGCAGUUUCACGCCCUCAUUGGACGCAGUGAAUACCUCCGUCCCGAUGCAGAUCGCCCGACCCACCGUACACACGCGCUUCUGAGCCCCCCCUAUGGGGGAACCGCAGCCGGACCCACAACUUCGUCUGCCCCACAUCUGCCCCACAACUGCCCCACAACUGCCUGUCUGCCUCACUUCUGCCCCACAUCUGCCCCACAUCUGCCUGUCUGCCUCACUUCUGCCCCACAUCUGCCCCAUAACUGCCUGUCUGCCCCACAACUGCCUGUCUGCCCCACAUCUGCCCCACAACUGCCUGUCUGCCUCACUUCUGCAACAUAACUGCCCCACAUCUGCCCCAUAGCUGCCUGUCUGCCUCACAUCUGCCCCAUAACUGCCUGUCUGCCUCACUUCUGCCCCACAGCUGCCCCACAACCACCUGUCUGCCUCACUUCUGCCCCACAUCUGCCCCAUAGCUGCCUAUCUGCCCCACAUCUGCCCCACAUCUGCCCCACAUCUGCCUGCCUACCUCACAUCUGCCCCACAUCUGCCUCACAUCUGCCCCACACCUGCCUGCCUACCCCACAUCUGCCCCACAUCUGCCUCACAUCUGCCCCACACCUGCCUGUCUACCUCACAUCUGCCCCACAUCUGCCCCACAACUGCCUGUCUGCCUCACAUCUGCCCCACGUCUGCCUGUCUACCUCACAUCUGCCCCACAUCUGCCCCACACCUGCCUGUCUACCUCACAUCUGCCCCACAACUGCCCCACAUCUGCCCCACAACUGCCCCAAAUCCGCCCCACAUCUGCCUCACAUCCGCCCCACAUCCGCACGCAGGCCGUGCCCCUCCCCCCUUAUUUAUUAUUUAUUAAUGCAAUAAAUUAACGAACGGCUUUAAUUAGCCCGGUUAAUGGGGUUUGUUUGGGGGGGGGGGGGGGCUGUGGGAUUAUGGGGUUAUGGGGAUUAAUAGGGUUAUGGGUGAUGGGGUUAUGGGGUCAAUGGGGAUGAAUGGGGUUAUGGGGCUAUGGGUGGUGGGGUUAUGGGGUGAUGGGGUCAAUGGGGAUUAAUGGGGUUAUGGAGAUUAAUGGGGUCAAUGGGGAUCAAUGAGGUUAUGGGGUCAAUGGGGAUUAAUGGGGUGGUGGGGUUAUGGGGUUAUGGAGUCAAUGGGGAUUAAUGGGGUUAUGGGGUUACGGAGAUUAAAGGGGUCAAUGGGGAUCAAUGGGGAUAUGGGGUUAUGGGCGAUGGGGUUAUGGGGAUAUAGGGUCAAUGAGGAUUAAUUGGGUUAUGGGGUUAUGGGGAUUAAUGGGGUCAAUGGGGAUCAAUGGGGUGAUGGGGUUAUGGGGUCAAUGGGAAUUAAUGGGGUGGCCCCAUAGGACGUCCCCAAGACCCCAUAGAUCACCUGUAGACCACAUAAAGUGUCCCCAAGAAACCAUAGAUCCCAUAGGAUGCCCCCAGACCCCACGUAUCCCCCCAUAGACCCCAUAGGAUGCCCCGAGACCCCAUAGGAUGCCCCCAGACCCCACGUAUCCCCCCAUAGACCCCAUAGGAUGCCCCCGAGACCCCAUAGGAUGCCCCCAGACCCCACAUAUCCCCCCGAGACCCCAUAGGAUGCCCCUGAGACCCCAUAGGAUGCCCCCAGACCCCACAUAUCCCCCCAUAGACCCCAUAGGAUGCCCCCAGACCCCACGUAUCCCCCCAUAGACCCCAUAGGAUGUCCCCAGACCCCAUAGAAUGUCCCCAUACCCCACGUAUCUCCCCAUAGAAUCCAUAGGAUGUCCCCAAGACCCCAUAGAUCACCCCAUAGACCCCAUAGGAUGUCCCUGAGACCCCAUAUGGUGCUGCUGAGACCCGAUAGAACCCCAUAGAGGUGACAGUGGGACCCCAUGGAGUGCCACCAACCCCACAGAGGUGACAACGGGACCCCAUAUUGGUGACAAUGGGACCCCAUAGACGUGACAACGUGACCCCAUGGAGUGCCACCAACCCCAUAGAGGUGACAAUGGGACCCCAUGGAGUGCCACCAACCCUACAGAGGUGACAAUGGGACCCCAUAGAGGUGACAAUGUGACCCCAUAGACGUGACAGCGUGACCCCAUGGAGUGCCACCAACCCCAUAGAGGUGACAAUGGGACCCCAUGGAGUGCCACCAACCCUACAGAGGUGACAAUGGGACCCCAUAGAGUGACACCAGCCCUAUAGAGGUGACAAUGGGACCCCAUAGAGUGCCACCAACCCCACAGAGGUGACAAUGGGACCCCAAGGAGUGCCACCAACCCCAUAGAGGUGACAAUGGGACCCCAUGGAGUGCCACCAACCCCAUAUUGGUGACAAUGGGACCCCAUUGGUGACAGUGGGACCCCAUAUUGGUGACAAUGUGACCCCAUAGAGUGCCACCAACCCCAUAUUGGUGACAAUGGGACCCCAUAGAGUGCCACCAACCCCACAGAGGUGACAAUGGGACCCCAAGGAGUGCCACCAACCCCAUAGAGGUGACAAUGGGACCCCAUGGAGUGCCACCAACCCCAUAUUGGUGACAAUGGGACCCCAUAGACAUGACAACGUGACCCCAUAGAGUGCCACCAACCCCAUAGAGGUGACAAUGGGACCCCAUAGAGUGCCACCAACCCCAUAGAGGUGACAAUGGGACCCCAUAGAGAGCCACCAACCCCAUAUUGGUGACAAUGGGACCCCAUAGAGUGCCACCAACCCCAUAUUGGUGACAAUGGGACCCCAUAUUGUGCCACCAACCCCACAGAGGUGACAACGGGACCCCAUAGAGUGCCACCAACCCCAUAUUGGUGACAAUGGGACCCCAUGGAGUGCCACCAACCCCAUAGAGGUGACAAUGGGACCCCAUGGAGUGCCACCAACCCCAUAUUGGUGACAAUGGGACCCCAUAGAGGUGACAACGUGACCCCAUGGAGUGCCACCAACCCCAUAGAGGUGACAAUGGGACCCCAUGGAGUGCCACCAACCCCAUAUUGGUGACAACGGGACCCCAUGGAGUGCCACCAACCCUACAGAGGUGACAAUGGGACCCCAUUGGUGACAGUGGGACCCCAUAUUGGUGACAGUGGGACCCCAUGAAGUGCCACCAACCCCACAGAGGUGACAAUGGGACCCCAAGGAGUGCCACCAACCCCAUAGAGGUGACAAUGGGACCCCAUGGAGUGCCACCAACCCCAUAUUGGUGACAAUGGAACCCCAUAGACAUGACAACAUGACCCCAUAGAGUGCCACCAACCCCACAGAGGUGACAAUGGGACCCCAUUGGUGACAGUGGGACCCCAUAUUGGUGACAAUGGGACCCCAUGGAAUGCCACCAACCCCAUAGAGGUGACAAUGGGACCCCAUAGAGUGCCACCAACCCCAUAGAGGUGACAGUGGGACCCCAUGGAGUGCCACCAACCCCAUAUUGGUGACAAUGGGACCCCAUUGGUGACAGUGGGACCCCAUAUUGGUGACAGUGGGACCCCAUAGAGUGCCACCAACCCCAUAGAGGUGACAAUGGGACCCCAUUGGUGACAGUGGGACCCCAUAUUGGUGACAAUGGGACCCCAUAGAGUGCCACCAACCCCAUAGAGGUGACAAUGGGACCCCAUAGAGUGCCACCAACCCCAUAGAGGUGACAAUGGGGCCAACGUCAGCACCCGGGAGGGGACGUCGAGGAGUGUCACCGUAUGGGGGUGACUCACGGGGGCGCCCCCACCCACCUCAGGGCGGUGUCACCGCGUCACCUCCCUCCCUUAUCUUAUCGGCGCCGUGGGGUGGGGGUGGGGCUCUCCCUAUAGGGCCACCCAUCCCCGUCCCGCCCCCUUUUUUGGGGGGUCAAAUAACCCCCCCCCCCACCCCCACCCCAAAAUCCUUCCCGG